rnacentral:rRNA from 1 species
CAGCCGUAAACUAUGCGCGUUAGGUGUACUGGUGACCACGAGUCACCGGGGUGCCGAAGGGAAACCGUGAAACGUGCCGCCUGGGAAGUACGGUCGCAAGGCUGAACUUAAAGGAUUGGCGGGGGGAGCACCACAACGGGUGGAGCCUGCGGUUUAAUUGGACUCAACGCCGGAAAUCUCACCGGAUAGGACAGACAUAUGAUAGUCGGGCUGAAGACUCUACUUGAUGAUCUGAGAGGUGGUGCAUGGCGUCAGUGACU